GUCCGAUCACCACAAACCUAGGAAGGAAAAGAUAGAUCUGAUCUGAAAUUGAAGGAAAAUAGCACAUGCAGCGGAAAUUUAGACAGGAACUUGUUAAACUAAUCUGGUCAGAUUGCACAACAAAAUUUGUGACAAACAAGCAAACCUCCCCUGAUCUAGAAAGAACAACGCAAAUUUUGCCCAAUCCGCUACAGAUCUAGAAAGGAAAACGUAGAUCCCGUCAAUGGAUGC
rnacentral:misc_RNA from 1 species